GCAGACACAUUCCAGCCAAUCAGCAGCAGACCCUCCCUCCCAGACCCUCCCACUUCCUGGACAGCAUCCAUUUUGAAGCUGCAUUCUUAGUGAGCUGAGCUUGGUGAGGAGGUGGGAGGGUCUGGGAGGGAGGGUCUGCUGCUGAUUGGCAGGAAUAUGUCUG